AAUGAACGCUGGCGGCAUGGAUUAGGCAUGCAAGUCGAACGGGCCGUUUUUCGCAAGAGAGACGGUUAGUGGCGAAAGGGUGAGUAACACGUGAGCAACCUGCCCCCGAGUCCGGGAUAGCCCGCGGAAGCGUGGAUUAAUACCGGAUGUGGUACUCUGCUGCAUGGCAGGGCCACUGAAGAUUUAUCGCUCGGGGAUGGGCUCGCGGCCCAUAAGCUGGUUGGCGGGGUAACGGCCCACCAAGGCUAUGACGGGUAGGUGGUCUGAGAGGAUGGUCACCCACACUGGGACUGAGACACUGCCCAGACUCCUACGGGAGGCUGCAGUCGAGAAUCUUCCGCAAUGGGCGAAAGCCUGACGGAGCGAUGCCGCGUGAGGGAUGAGGGCCUUCGGGUUGUAAACCUCUGUCAGAGGGGACGAAGAAUGUGACGGUACCCUCAGAGGAAGCCACGGCUAACUACGUGCCAGCCGCCGCCGUAAUAC
rnacentral:rRNA from 1 species